rnacentral:rRNA from 1 species
AUUGAACGCUGGCGGCAUGCUUUACACAUGCAAGUCGAACGGCAGCACGGGUGCUUGCACCUGGUGGCGAGUGGCGGACGGGUGAGUAAUGCAUCGGAACGUGUCCUAAAGUGGGGGAUAACGCAUCGAAAGAUGUGCUAAUACCGCAUAAUCUCUGAGGAGAAAAGUAGGGGAUCGAAAGACCUUAUGCUUUUGGAGCGGCCGAUGUCUGAUUAGCUAGUUGGUAAGGUAACGGCUUACCAAGGCGACGAUCAGUAGUUGGUCUGAGAGGACGACCAGCCACACUGGGACUGAGACACGGCCCAGACUCCUACGGGAGGCAGCAGUGGGGAAUUUUAGACAAUGGGCGCAAGCCUGAUCCAGCAAUGCCGCGUGAGUGAAGAAGGCC